rnacentral:rRNA from 1 species
AUGCACAAUGUGGGGUUGGCAGGGUUGACCUUCUGGAGCCCCAACAUCAACAUCUUCCGGGACCCGCGGUGGGGCCGGGGCCAGGAGACGCCCGGCGAGGACCCGCUGCUGGCCAGCAAGUACGCCGUCGGAUACAUCACGGGCUCCAGGACGCCGGCGCCGGCGGCGUCACCGACGGCGCGCUCAAGGUCGCCGCAUGCUGCAAGCACUACACUGCCUACGACGUCGACAACUGGAAGGGCAUCGAGCGAUACACCUUCAACGCAAAUUUUGUUUCCAGCGACAGCAGAGAGAUGUACUCCAGCAGAGGAUCAAAUGAUCAGAGAGAGGAGAUGA